rnacentral:rRNA from 1 species
UGGGGGAUAUUGCACAAUGGGGGAAACCCUGAUGCAGCAACGCCGCGUGAACGAAGAAGGUCUUCGGAUUGUAAAGUUCUGUUCUUGGUGAAGAUAAUGACGGUAGCCAAGGAGAAAGCUCCGGCUAACUACGUGCC